rnacentral:rRNA from 1 species
UACGGGGGGAGCAAGCGUUGUUCGGAUUUACUGGGCGUAAAGGGCGCGUAGGCGGUCGUGACAAGUCACUUGUGAAAUCUCCGGGCUUAACUCGGAACGGUCAAGUGAUACUGUCGGACUAGAGUACAGAAGGGGCAACUGGAAUUCUCGGGUGUAGCGGUGAAAUGCGUAGAUAUCGAGAGGAACACCUGCGGCGAAGGCGGGUUGCUGGGCUGAUACUGACGCUGAGGCGCGAAAGCCAGGGGAGCGAACGGG